rnacentral:misc_RNA from 1 species
GACCCCUCAAGCCCAGCUUGGUGAUGGGCGUCUGUCCCCGCCCCCGCGCGAGGACUCGCCCCAAAAUCAUUGGCGGCCGGUACGUUGGCUUCGAGCGCAGCAGAAACGCACCUCGAGCCCGGCGGACCGGCUCCCAGAAGCUUUACCA